rnacentral:rRNA from 1 species
CCUCUUUUCUCAAGGAAGAAGAACUGACGGUACUUGAGGAAUCAGCAUCGGCUAACUCCGUGCCAGCAGCCGCGGUAAGACGGAGGAUGCAAGCGUUAUCCGGAAUUAUUGGGCGUAAAGCGUCCGUAGGCGGUUGUACAAGUCUGAUGUUAAAGCCCACAGCUCAACUGUGGAUGGGCAUUGGAAACUGUGCGACUAGAGAGUGGUAGGGGUAGAGGGAAUUCCUAGUGUAGCGGUGAAAUGCGUAGAUAUUAGGAAGAACACCAGUGGCGAAGGCGCUCUACUGGGCCAUUACUGACGCUGAUGGACGAAAGCUAGGGGAGCGAAAGGGAUUAGAUACCCCUGUAGUCCUAGCUGUAAACGAUGAACACUAGGUGUUGCGCGUAUCGACCCGUGCAGUAUCGAAGCAAACGCGUUAAGUGUUCCGCCUGGGGAGUACGCACGCAAGUGUGAAACUCAAAGGAAUUGACGGGGGCCCGCACAAGCGGUGGAGUAUGUGGUUUAAUUCGAUGCAACGCGAAGAACCUUACCAGGGAUUGACAUCCUACGAAUUUCUAUGAAAGUAGAGAGUGCCUUCGGGAACGUAGAGACAGGUGGUGCAUGGCUGUCGUCAGCU